rnacentral:tRNA from 1 species
GGGGCUGUAGCUCAGUUGGGAGAGCGUGUCGUUCGCAACGACAAGGUCGCCGGUUCGAUCCCGGUCAGCUCCACCA